rnacentral:rRNA from 1 species
AACGAACGCUGGCGGCAGGCCUAACACAUGCAAGUCGAGCGCGCCCUUCGGGGUGAGCGGCGGACGGGUGAGUAACGCGUGGGAACGUGCCCUUUUCUACGGAAUAGCCUCGGGAAACUGAGAGUAAUACCGUAUACGCCCUUUGGGGGAAAGAUUUAUCGGAAAAGGAUCGGCCCGCAUUGGAUUAGGUAGUUGGUGGGGUAAUGGCCUACCAAGCCGACGAUCCAUAGCUGGUUUGAGAGGAUGAUCAGCCACACUGGGACUGAGACACGGCCCAGACUCCUACGGGAGGCAGCAGUGGGGAAUCUUAGACAAUGGGGGCAACCCUGAUCUAGCCAUGCCGCGUGAGUGAUGAAGGCCUUAGGGUUGUAAAGCUCUUUCAGCUGGGAAGAUAAUGACGGUACCAGCAGAAGAAGCCCCGGCUAACUCCGUG